GCUCUGGUGGCCUAGUGAUUAGAGCAUCCGCCUUGGAUGCGGGGGGUCGCGGGUUCAAACCCUAUCCCGAGUCA